GUGACUGCGUACCUUUUGUAUAAUGGGUCAGCGACUUAUAUUCUGUAGCAAGGUUAACCGUAUAGGGGAGCCGAAGGGAAACCGAGUCUUAACUGGGCGUUAAGUUGCAGGGUAUAGACCCGAAACCCGGUGAUCUAGCCAUGGGCAGGUUGAAGGUUGGGUAACACUAACUGGAGGACCGAACCGACUAAUGUUGAAAAAUUAGCGGAUGACCUGUGGCUGGGGGUGAAAGGCCAAUCAAACCGGGAGAUAGCUGGUUCUCCCCGAAAGCUAUUUAGGUAGCGCCUCGUGAACUCAUCUUCGGGGGUAGAGCACUGUUUCGGCUAGGGGGCCAUCCCGGCUUACCAACCCGAUGCAAACUACGAAUACCGAAGAAUGUUAUCACGGGAGACACACGGCGGGUGCUAACGUCCGUCGUGAAGAGGGAAACAACCCAGACCGCCAGCUAAGGUCCCAAAGUCAUGGUUAAGUGGGAAACGAUGUGGGAAGGCACAGACAGCCAGGAUGUUGGCUUAGAAGCAGCCAUCAUUUAAAGAAAGCGUAAUAGCUCACUGGUCGAGUCGGCCUGCGCGGAAGAUGUAACGGGGCUAAACCAUGCACCGAAGCUGCGGCAGCGACACUAUGUGUUGUUGGGUAGGGGAGCGUUCUGUAAGCCGUUGAAGGUGUGCUGUGAGGCAUGCUGGAGGUAUCAGAAGUGCGAAUGCUGACAUAAGUAACGAUAAAGCGGGUGAAAAGCCCGCUCGCCGGAAGACCAAGGGUUCCUGUCCAACGUUAAUCGGGGCAGGGUGAGUCGACCCCUAAGGCGAGGCCGAAAGGCGUAGUCGAUGGGAAACAGGUUAAUAUUCCUGUACUUGGUGUUACUGCGAAGGGGGGACGGAGAAGGCUAUGUCAGCCGGGCGACGGUUGUCCCGGUUUAAGCAUGUAGGCGGAGGUUCCAGGUAAAUCCGGUACCUUAUUAACGCUGAGGUGUGAUGACGAGGCACUACGGUGCUGAAGUGAUAAAUGCCCUGCUUCCAGGAAAAGCCUCUAAGCAUCAGGUAACACGAAAUCGUACCCCAAACCGACACAGGUGGUCAGGUAGAGAAUACCAAGGCGCUUGAGAGAACUCGGGUGAAGGAACUAGGCAAAAUGGUGCCGUAACUUCGGGAGAAGGCACGCUGAUAUGUAGGUGAAGCCCCUGCGGGCGGAGCUGAAAUCAGUCGAAGAUACCAGCUGGCUGCAACUGUUUAUUAAAAACACAGCACUGUGCAAACACGAAAGUGGACGUAUACGGUGUGACGCCUGCCCGGUGCCGGAAGGUUAAUUGAUGGGGUUAGCGGCAACGCGAAGCUCUUGAUCGAAGCCCCGGUAAACGGCGGCCGUAACUAUAACGGUCCUAAGGUAGCGAAAUUCCUUGUCGGGUAAGUUCCGACCUGCACGAAUGGCGUAAUGAUGGCCAGGCUGUCUCCACCCGAGACUCAGUGAAAUUGAACUCGCUGUGAAGAUGCAGUGUACCCGCGGCAAGACGGAAAGACCCCGUGAACCUUUACUAUAGCUUGACACUGAACACUGGUCCUUGAUGUGUAGGAUAGGUGGGAGGCUUUGAAGCGUGGACGCCAGUCUGCGUGGAGCCAUCCUUGAAAUACCACCCUUUAAUGGCUGGUGUUCUAACGUAGACCCGUGAUCCGGGUUGCGGACAGUGUCUGGUGGGUAGUUUGACUGGGGCGGUCUCCUCCCAAAGAGUAACGGAGGAGCACGAAGGUUGGCUAAUCCUGGUCGGACAUCAGGAGGUUAGUGCAAUGGCAUAAGCCAGCUUGACUGCGAGCGUGACGGCGCGAGCAGGUGCGAAAGCAGGUCAUAGUGAUCCGGUGGUUCUGAAUGGAAGGGCCAUCGCUCAACGGAUAAAAGGUACUCCGGGGAUAACAGGCUGAUACCGCCCAAGAGUUCAUAUCGACGGCGGUGUUUGGCACCUCGAUGUCGGCUCAUCACAUCCUGGGGCUGAAGUAGGUCCCAAGGGUAUGGCUGUUCGCCAUUUAAAGUGGUACGCGAGCUGGGUUUAGAACGUCGUGAGACAGUUCGGUCCCUAUCUGCCGUGGGCGCUGGAGAAUUGAGGGGGGCUGCUCCUAGUACGAGAGGACCGGAGUGGACGCAUCACUGGUGUUCGGGUUGUCAUGCCAAUGGCACUGCCCGGUAGCUAAAUGCGGAAGAGAUAAGUGCUGAAAGCAUCUAAGCACGAAACUUGCCCCGAGAUGAGUUCUCCCUGAGACUUUAAGUCUCCUGAAGGAACGUUGAAGACGACGACGUUGAUAGGUCGGGUGUGUAAGCGCAGCGAUGCGUUGAGCUAACCGAUACUAAUGAACCGUGAGGCUUAACCUU
rnacentral:rRNA from 1 species